UACGUAGGGUGCAAGCGUUGUCCGGAAUUAUUGGGCGUAAAGGGCGCGUAGGCGGCCGUGCAAGUGGAAGGUGAAAUCCCUCGGCUCAACCGAGGAACUGCCUUUCAAACUGCAUGGCUUGAGUCCGGGAGAGGUGAGUGGAAUUCCCAGUGUAGCGGUGAAAUGCGUAGAUAUUGGGAGGAACACCAGUGGCGAAGGCGGCUCACUGGACCGGAACUGACGCUGAGGCGCGAAAGCGUGGGGAGCAAACGGG
rnacentral:rRNA from 1 species